AUGUCGAGCCUCGGGGUGGUGGUGGAGCAGUCAUGGCGGACGGUUGGCUCCGGCCACCGUGUAGUUGUGGAGAGGAUCCUGAGAGAGAGGUGGUCGGCGAGCCCGUGCCGGAAGAAAAGUGCUGCCGGUAGGCAAGGUAGGGUGGAUGGUGUCCAUCAUGGUGUUUUCGAAUUUAGUCUAUCGUUAGAUCAGCAUGAGAGAUUUCUACUUGAUUUAGCAGUCAAUGGCAGCACCGAGGUUGAUGGGGUCGCAGAAGCCAUGGCUGCAGCCCCCACCACCAACUCCCUCACCUGUGGAAAGCCACAUGUCAAACCUGGACAUGUCAAAUUAUGUUUUGAUGGUACCGUCUCAUUGGAUGCCCUGUCUGGUCAUCCAGAAGCUCUAUCUGUUAGAUUUAGUUGUGAGAACACUAGAAUGCUUGGAGAUAGAAAUAAUUCCAAUUCACCCGAGUAUUGUUGUGCAUCUUACUACACUGUCUGA
rnacentral:rRNA from 1 species